CGAGCGGAAAGGCCCUUCGGGGGUACUCGAGCGGCGAACGGGUGAGUAACACGUGAGUAAUCUGCCCUUGGCUUCGGGAUAGCCACCGGAAACGGUGAUUAAUACCGGAUACGACACAUCACUGCAUGGUGCGUGUGUGGAAAGUUUUUUCGGCCAGGGAUGUGCUCGCGGCCUAUCAGCUUGUUGGUGGGGUAAUGGCCUACCAAGGCUUCGACGGGUAGCCGGCCUGAGAGGGUGACCGGCCACACUGGGACUGAGACACGGCCCAGACUCCUACGGGAGGCAGCAGUGGGGAAUAUUGGACAAUGGGCGGAAGCCUGAUCCAGCAACGCCGCGUGAGGGAUGACGGCCUUCGGGUUGUAAACCUCUUUCAGCACAGACGAAGCGCAAGUGACGGUAUGUGCAGAAGAAGGACCGGCCAACUACGUGCCAGCAGCCGCGGUAAUACGUAGGGUCCGAGCGUUGUCCGGAAUUAUUGGGCGUAAAGGGCUCGUAGGCGGUUUGUCGCGUCGGGAGUGAAAACACCGGGCUUAACUCGGUGCUUGCUUUCGAUACGGGCAGACUAGAGGUAUUCAGGGGAGAACGGAAUUCCUGGUGUAGCGGUGAAAUGCGCAGAUAUCAGGAGGAACACCGGUGGCGAAGGCGGUUCUCUGG
rnacentral:rRNA from 1 species